UGAGCCAUACUGGAGUGUGAGCUCCAGUUCUAGUCUGUUCAUUGUUGCAUUUCCCCUCAUCGUCUUAACUGUUUGAUCCCUCUGUCUUCUCACUUGUAAAACAGAGGUAGUGGUAAUACCUACUUUUUAUUUUAAAAAAGCCAAAACAUUAUUUCAUAAGCACUUAGUGUGUCAGGCACAGUUCUAGGAAACUAAUCCACUUGGUUCUUACAUUGACACCACAUGGUAGCUAUCAUUUACAAAUGAGGAAGCUGAGGCACAGGGAGGCAAAGCAACUUUUCCUGUAACACCCCGCUACUAAGUGGUACAGAUGGGCUUCAAAUUCGGCAAGCUGGUCCCAAGUUCACGCUCUUCACGCCUUCAGGCUGUUUCUCACCAAGCCACAGAGGGGUUGUUAGAGUUGCCCUUGGAACAGUGCCUGGCACACAGGGGCUGAUAGUGUUCUCAUGGCACACAGGUCACAGGGAGCCACUUCCUUCAUUUCGUCAAAAGCAGGCAUCUGACCCUUUUGGGGGAAGCUGAUGACAGCUCUGCUCCUCAGAUAUCUGCAUCUGCCAACCCCAACCCCAUCCACACAGCUCCUGCUCACUUGCCAAGGCUGGCACAGGCAGGUGUUUUUCUUUUGCAGUUAACUGUCCACCCUCCCCAUAGCCCAGAGGAAAGGCUUGGUGGUGCUGGGGAGGGGCUAAGGAUUGAACAAAGGUCAGGUGGGGCUCCCAGCAUUCCUUGGGAGGGCAGGUCCCACUGCCCCUCCCCAGCCCUCCUGACACACCUUCUCUCCCCACUAUAAAGUUUUGAGCCAACAGCGGGUUCGCCUGUGGCAGCACUGAACUUAAAGUACAGGGGACAUUUCCUGCGCCAAUCCACCCAACUUCUCUCCGCAGCCCUGGAGUCCACCUCCAAGAAGCCCAAGGGGGCAGGCCAGCACGGCCACAGCCAUGGCAGCUCCUCGGACUCUGACAGCAGCAGCAGCUCCAGCAGCUCUGACGUGGAGGCGAAGCCCCCCUAUGCAGGCUCAGGGACGCAAGGAAGCACCCCGAAAAAGGUCAAAAAGCCCAAGGUGAAAAAAGAGGUGAAGAAGAAGGCUUCCCACUGACAGGACUGGGCUUGGCUCAUUAAACCUCCUCUCAGCCUUC